GGAAAGACUCAUGAGAGAGAUGAAUUUCAACAACCUAAAAAUUGCUCUGUGGCUUCUCAGCCUCUGAAGACACGUAACGGAGCCAAGAUGAAGCCACCCGUCCUUACCUCUGUCUGCAGCUGGCUCAAGUGCCCUCAGUCUUACUAACCAUUGUUCCAGAACUGGGGUUGGAGCAACACAACCCCAUUCCCCACAUCCUCCCAUGGCCUCCGCUGAAGCUGCCCCGUCCUUUAGCAAACCGGAGGGUCACUCAUGGAGGGCAUGGAAAACUGAAAGAGAAACAACUCCUAAUCUUGUGCGGACUAGAAAGAAUCUGUUUUGGCCGUAGUGAGGAGGGGAGCUGCUGUAGAACUCGGGGGUUUAAACAGUGAUCUCAGUUCUGGCAGCCUCCGGGAUGACCUUGGAAAAGAUUUUUUAGUCUGUGUCAACUUGAUCGGAACCUCCAGACAAAACACGUGAGUUCAGCCAGACAACGUCUCCACAUUGGCCUGUUGGACACCGAUUAGGCAUAGUCUUCAUUGCACUGGGCUUUGGUUUUACUCCCUGUCUAUUGUGAAGGAAGCCCCUAUCCACCUUCACUCUCUCCUUUUCUAGCACCUGCAAAUAGAUUGUGGUAAGCAUUUGACUCAUAAUUUGUUUAUGGGUGCAAUCCACAUAGCACCCAAAAUGUGUGUGUGGUUUGGGGUUUGGAUGAAUUUGGACAUGACUGAAAAAUGACACUAAGGACUGGGAACCUGAAUGUGUCUACCAGGACAUACAAAUCUGAAAUGUUCUUAGGUGGGCUUGCUGCUUUCCAGUGAAACCCAGCACUCCGACUCAAGCUGUGCAGAGCUUCUUUUGUGUUUACAUGUGCCCCAUAUUUCCCCUAGGCACUGCCCACUGGGAUUAUUGAUUAAUCUGAGAUUGUCAUUAAUUAUUUGAUAUCUGUUAUGUAGGAGAGAGAAUAGGAUGGUCCAAGGCAAAUCUAAUUUGAGAAUAGCCAGGAGUGAGUGGUAAUAUCUGUACUUUUUCGUCUCCCACUGACUCCAGACAUUCAAAGUCAGCUUGGCAAUUAUCUAAGAAAGAGAGGAGUGACAUGUGGCUUCUCCCAAUGGGGGAUUUCAUUGUCCAUUUGGGUCCCAAUGUUUACUGUAUCUCAAAGAAACCAUGACAACCAUAUUUGUCUCUAUUUCCUC
rnacentral:lncRNA from 1 species